GGGGAUUUAGCUCAGUGGUAGAGCAUUUGCCUAGCGAGCACAAGGCCCUGGGUUCUGUCCCCAGCUCUG
rnacentral:tRNA from 1 species